rnacentral:rRNA from 1 species
AGAGUUUGAUCCUGGCUCAGGAUGAACGCCGGCGGUGUGCCUAAUACAUGCAAGUCGUACGCACUGGCCCAACUGAUUAAUGGUGCUUGCACCUGAUUGACGAUGGAUCACCAGUGAGUGGCGGACGGGUGAGUAACACGUAGGUAACCUGCCCCGGAGCGGGGGAUAACACUUGGAAACAGAUGCUAAUACCGCAUAACAACAAAAGCCACAUGGCUUUUGUUUGAAAGAUGGCUUUGGCUAUCACUCUGGGAUGGACCUGCGGUGCAUUAGCUAGUUGGUAAGGUAACGGCUUACCAAGGCGAUGAUGCAUAGCCGAGUUGAGAGACUGAUCGGCCACAAUGGAACUGAGACACGGUCCAUACUCCUACGGGAGGCAGCAGUAGGGAAUCUUCCACAAUGGGCGCAAGCCUGAUGGAGCAACACCGCGUGAGUGAAGAAGGGUUUCGGCUCGUAAAGCUCUGUUGUCGGAGAAGAACGUGCGUGAGAGUAACUGUUCACGCAGUGACGGUAUCCAACCAGAAAGUCACGGCUAACUACGUGCCAGCAGCCGCGGUAAUACGUAGGUGGCAAGCGUUAUCCGGAUUUACUGGGCGUAAAGCGAGCGCAGGCGGUUGCUUAGGUCUGAUGUGAAAGCCUUCGGCUUAACCGAAGAAGUGCAUCGGAAACCGGGCGACUUGAGUGCAGAAGAGGACAGUGGAACUCCAUGUGUAGCGGUGGAAUGCGUAGAUAUAUGGAAGAACACCAGUGGCGAAGGCGGCCGUCUGGUCUGCAACUGACGCUGAGGCUCGAAAGCAUGGGUAGCGAAUAGGAUUAGAUACCCUGGUAGUCCAUGCCGUAAACGAUGAGUGCUAGGUGUUGGAGGGUUUCCGCCCUUCAGUGCCGGAGCUAACGCAUUAAGCACUCCGCCUGGGGAGUAC